rnacentral:rRNA from 1 species
UUCCCUCAGUAACUGCGAGUGAACAGGGAAGAGCCCAGCACCGAAGCCUGUGGUCAGUUGGCCAUUAGGCAAUGUGGUGUUUAGGUCGUUCCGCAGAAACACUGCUCCACCCCAAGUCCAUUAAUGGGUACGGUAGUACAGACAUGGCCCACGGAGGGUGAAAGGCCCGUUCGGGUGGAGAUUCGGCAGGCCAGUGUUUCUCUGGGUAGACCUUGGAGUCGGGUUGUUUGUGAAUGCAGCCCAAAGCGGGUGGUAAACUCCAUCCAAGGCUAAAUACAAGCACGAGUCCGAUAGCGAACAAGUACCGUGAGGGAAAGUUGAAAAGUACUUUGAAGAGAGAGUUAACAGUGCGUGAAACCGCUCAGAGGUAAGCAGGUGGAGUUGAACUGCAAGCCUUGAGAAUUCAGCUGGUGAGGGUGGUUUGGUCUUGGUCAAGUUGGUUGGGCCCUGAGGUACGUUCAAUUACGUGUCCUUUCCCUCGGGUUGGGAUGUGCGAUACACUUAUCAAGUGUUGCGCGCCUUGGGUGUUCAUCGAGCUUCCUUGCCAGUGCACUUUCUCAAGGUGGUCACCACGACCGGCGCUGCUGUCAGACUGUUGCGGUUAAACCGGCCUUGCGAUGCCCUUGUGGUAUUACCUGGUCGGGAUGGCAGGUAGCUCGUUAGCUUGCGUUUGCUUGCUUUCGAGUGUAAUCAGCUGACCGUGAUGGUUCUGUGCGGUGCGUCGGAGACGGCGGCUAGUGGUGUGUGCAUGCGUGCCCGAUUUGCUGGCGUAUCCCGGUUUGGUUUCUGUGUUGCCUGUGUUAGCAGGCCCAGUUAUGGCUGGGGUUCGUUCAGUGAAUGGUUGCGUGUGUGACACUUCCAAGGGCCAAUAGUCUGUGGUGUAGUGGUAGACUAUCCACCUGACCCGUCUUGAAACA